AAGGUUUCCGUAGGUGAACCUGCGGAAGGAUCAUUAAUGAAACAAAGUCGGGUUGUUGUAUCUGGUUGCGCAAGCUUCAAGUGAUCACUCCCUUCAAAACUUUCAACCUUCUUUUGUGCACACUUUGUAGUCCUGGUGUUAACGAGCGAAACCAUUCUGCAGUUCUCUGCAGGUUAGUGGGUUGCUGGCCUAGUCGGUCAGCUUCCCGCAAAUGCUCUCUAGGGUCUAUGUUUUUAUAAACUAGUAUGUUAUAGAAUGUCAACUUAUCGGCCGUUAAACGCCUUUAAAACAAAUACAACUUUCAGCAACGGAUCUCUUGGCUCUCCCAUCGAUGAAGAACGCAGCGAAAUGCGAUAAGUAAUGUGAAUUGCAGAAUUCAGUGAAUCAUCGAAUCUUUGAACGCACCUUGCGCCCUUUGGUAUUCCGAAGGGCAUGCCUGUUUGAGUGUCAUUAAAUUAUCAACCUUGAAUUUGUGCUUGCACCUCUUCUCGGCUUGGAUCUGAGGGUUUUUGCUGGCUUCCUUCAGUGGACGGUCUGCUCCCUUUAAAUGCAUUAGCGGAAUCUCUUGUGGACCGUCUCUCGGUGUGAUAAUUAUCUAUGCCGUAGGACUUUGAAGCAAACUUUAUGGGAAUCUGCUUAUAACCGUCCUUCAGUUGGACACUAUUUUAAUAACAUCUUGACCUCAAAUCAGGUAGGACUACCCGCUGAACUUAAGCAUAUCAAUAAGCGGAGGAAAAGAAACUAACAAGGAUUCCCCUAGUAACUGCGAGUGAAGCGGGAAAAGCUCAAAUUUAAAAUCUGGCGGUCCCUGUGGCCGUCCGAGUUGUAA
rnacentral:rRNA from 1 species